rnacentral:lncRNA from 11 species
AUUCAUGAUAUGGUGUUGGUUGUCGUACAUCGCUAUGGCCAAUUUAAAAGACGACAAUUUGAGUAGUUGGUUUCUGGGCUUGAUUAGAGUUUCCGAAAUAACCUAAUAAUAAGUUGAAGUUGAAUUUGUGUACACACAAUUUGAAUCCUCGGGAUGGCCUACGUACACUGAGCGAUGCCCAAUACGAGAAGCUCACCGCGUUGUAUGACCUGUCUGGUUAUUCCUUAUUAUUAUGAAACUUCGAUUGAUUGGUUUAACUGGAAGGUGCUAUGCUGAUGUAGCUAUCGAUGCAGCGUGUGAUCGUCGAGGUGGUAAUCGUAACUGAAGACCAAAGCAAGUUGCUGCAGUACGAAGCAGUCUGGAUGGAUUGCUAGCUGGUACAGGAUUUGGAGCGCUCUUUACAAUUGUUUCUAAACACCGACCUCCGAAAGUAACGUCUCCCGUUGGUGGUUGCGUGUUAUCUAUGUGCUCCAUAGAACAGCUCCGACGAGAACUUCCGUAACUGCUCAUUCUAUCUCGUCACGUCAUUGACCUGGAGUCAAUCGUUGUGUACAUAGUUUUAAGGUAAUGAAGGCACCUUGAGCCAGUGUCUAAAAUUAAAAACUGGCCAUGUCGAAAGCUGCAAGGUUGCGAAGGUCUUCAGUUCCUACAGCUCUGAAUCACUGGAGGUCGAACGCCUGAGAACGGAUGAACGAGAAUCCAGGGGAGACUAGUACUAAUAGUCGGACCUAGAACACGUAAUGUGGACAAUAAGGGGAUACGAUGAAUUUUUUGCUUGCAAGAAAAGAUGCAUCUGAAUUUGUAUUGUAAUAUGCACAUCUUAUUUGCAUUUCAAAUCACAAUAUUGUUUUAGUGCGGAGCAUUCUGUAUGCAUUGCAAGCCGACGCAAGCUUCAUACUUUACAGCUGUUCCUGAAUACUGAUCGACCUCUAAAAGGCUGGUAAUGAGGACGCUUCCAAGGAAAUGGCUGAAAAGUAAAAACUGGAUGUAACUGUUAUCAGCGUAACGUGUGUAUUUUAUAUAUCGUCAUUGAGAGGCCAUGAUGCCAAAUCUGCCAUUAUCCAUUGAUAAAAAGCGGCACACAACUAACGCUCAUCCGCAAUCUUCAACUACUUUUAGUUAAUUGUGCUUGCGAGGCUACAAAGAAGAGAACUCAGAGGAAACCAGUAAUAAAGUUGUGCCUGCGAAUAAUUGCAAAUCAAUGGGAAAUAUGAAUAACAAAUGUUCUUGCCAGAGAAUAAUAAAAGAUUCAUCUGAAUUUGUAUUAUAAACAAACUAUUCUCAUUUGCUUUAAAGGUUAUGUAUAUCUUCAACACAUAAGCAGUGUGUAUGAAAUUACGUUCAUAUACAAACACGAUAGCUAUUUUAGGAAGUACAGACGAAAUAACGGUUAUCAAGAGCAUGCGCGCUCAGCUUCUCCAAGAUGUAAAGCAAUGAAUGUUUCGAGUAAUUAAUCGGCACCUUGAAAUUGUGAAGUGAUCGCAUGGUGCGGCUUGAACACAACUAUUCCCUAAUAAAGAGUCAAGUUAAUUUGUUGAGUCAAACAAAAUGUUCAGGUUUUUAUGAAGCUAUUCGUAACGAUAUGGACCCUCGUUUUACGUAAGCAAUUCUACCUGAUUCAUAAGUCUCCCGAAGUAAAGUGUAAAUAUAUGUUACAUGUAUGUAUAGUUUUACCCUACAUUUAAAUUGUGGUAAGCCAGUAGUAGCCGCGCUACACGAAGCUUUUUACAUACCAGUGUGGUCAUUUUGAU